rnacentral:misc_RNA from 1 species
GUGGGAAAACUCAUACAAUGCAUGUGAGAUCCAGUCAUACCACGUCACUUUAAUUAGAAAUUGCUUUUCAGAUGUAAUUUAUGAUAUCUAAUAAUGCAUGCAAAAUUGAAUAAAAAUGCACUAAUAUUCCAUCUAUUUUGCUUUUCUAACAAAGAUUACCAAUUGAUUAUGCUUUCAGCCUGCUUAAUUGCCGCUAAUGUGUGUGUAACUUGGGUUCUAUUAUGACAUCUCACAUAUAUUUUUGUAUCUAUUGUAAGUCACAUGUAUAAGUCUAAUCCAUUGAUUGAUAGCAUCUGCGUCCAUCCUCGGUCAAAACUGGCACAAUUUCUACAUUCUACACCAUAAUACAUAAUAUCAUAUAAGGAUGUUUUAUAAACAAAAAUCAAGCUGUGAGUUUCAAUGCUAUUGUCUAUUAGUAAUUACUGAAUAAUCUCCCUGUGCUUAC